AACGAACGCUGGCGGCAGGCCUAACACAUGCAAGUCGAGCGAGGACUUCGGUCCUAGCGGCGGACGGGGGAGUAACGCGCGGGAACGUGCCCUUUGCUACGGAAUAGCCCCGGGAAACUGGGAGUAAUACCGUAUGUGCCAGAGAGGGGAAAGAUUUAUCGGCAAAGGAUCGGCCCGCGUUGGAUUAGGUAGUUGGUGGGGUAAUGGCCUACCAAGCCGACGAUCCAUAGCCGGUUUGAGAGGCUGAUCAGCCACCCUGGGACUGAGACACGGCCCAGACUCCUACGGGAGGCAGCAGUGGAGAAUCUUAGACAAUGGGGGAAACCCUGAUCUAGCCAUGCCGCGUGAGCGAUGAAGGCCUUAGGGUUGUAAAGCUCUUUCAGUGGGGAAGAUAAUGACGGUACCCACAGAAGAAGCCCCGGCUAACUCCGUGCCAGCCGCCGCCGUAAGAC
rnacentral:rRNA from 1 species